rnacentral:rRNA from 1 species
GGGUUGUGAGGUUAAGCGACUAAGCGUACACGGUGGAUGCCCUGGCAGUCAGAGGCGAUGAAGGACGUGCUAAUCUGCGAUAAGCGUCGGUAAGGUGAUAUGAACCGUUAUAACCGGCGAUUUCCGAAUGGGGAAACCCAGUGUGUUUCGACACACUAUCAUUAACUGAAUCCAUAGGUUAAUGAGGCGAACCGGGGGAACUGAAACAUCUAAGUACCCCGAGGAAAAGAAAUCAACCGAGAUUCCCCCAGUAGCGGCGAGCGAACGGGGAGCAGCCCAGAGCCUGAAUCAGUGUGUGUGUUAGUGGAAGCGUCUGGAAAGGCGCGCGAUACAGGGUGACAGCCCCGUACACAAAAAUGCACAUGCUGUAAGCUCGAUGAGUAGGGCGGGACACGUGGUAUCCUGUCUGAAUAUGGGGGGACCAUCCUCCAAGGCUAAAUACUCCUGACUGACCGAUAGUGAACCAGUACCGUGAGGGAAAGGCGAAAAGAACCCCGGCGAGGGGAGUGAAAAAGAACCUGAAACCGUGUACGUACAAGCAGUGGGAGCACGCUUAGGCGUGUGACUGCGUACCUUUUGUAUAAUGGGUCAGCGACUUAUAUUCUGUAGCAAGGUUAACCGAAUAGGGGAGCCGAAGGGAAACCGAGUCUUAACUGGGCGUUAAGUUGCAGGGUAUAGACCCGAAACCCGGUGAUCUAGCCAUGGGCAGGUUGAAGGUUGGGUAACACUAACUGGAGGACCGAACCGACUAAUGUUGAAAAAUUAGCGGAUGACUUGUGGCUGGGGGUGAAAGGCCAAUCAAACCGGGAGAUAGCUGGUUCUCCCCGAAAGCUAUUUAGGUAGCGCCUCGUGAAUUCAUCUCCGGGGGUAGAGCACUGUUUCGGCAAGGGGGUCAUCCCGACUUACCAACCCGAUGCAAACUGCGAAUACCGGAGAAUGUUAUCACGGGAGACACACGGCGGGUGCUAACGUCCGUCGUGAAGAGGGAAACAACCCAGACCGCCAGCUAAGGUCCCAAAGUCAUGGUUAAGUGGGAAACGAUGUGGGAAGGCCCAGACAGCCAGGAUGUUGGCUUAGAAGCAGCCAUCAUUUAAAGAAAGCGUAAUAGCUCACUGGUCGAGUCGGCCUGCGCGGAAGAUGUAACGGGGCUAAACCAUG